UUAGUAAUCUCUCCGUCCAGAAAAGGAUGUCUGAAAUUUGUUUAAGUUUGAAUGUAUCAAAACACUAAAAAUGUCUAGAUACAUCCAUAUUUUGAAAAAAUUACGACAUCCUUUUUAGGACAGAUGGAAUAUAUA
rfam:Brachypodium distachyon strain Bd21 chromosome 2, whole genome shotgun sequence.